CCUACUUUGGGUACAUUUAAAACUUCCAAAUUAAAAGUUCAAUUUUUUUAAAAGUUGAUAUUGUGGCCCCGUCAUACAUUAAGGGUGCCUUUUUUACCUUUACCUCCAAGAGCUUCUAUACAUGCAAGAGGCUACGUUUUCGACCACGCAGCCAGCAAAAAUUACUACUAAAAUACUGUUUUUACAUGACUUUAAAAAGACAAAAUAGGUCUAUAAUUUCACAAAGGAACUAGAAAAGUAUCAUGAGAAAAUGGGGGGGAAUAAAACAAUCUGGUAUAUUUAGUUAGCUCUAACAGCACAUGGCAAUUCUAAAUAAAGCAUACGGAUUAAAAAAAAAAAAGACAUCCUGUUUUCGAUUUCAAAGAGCACAGGGUACUUUUCCUCAUCUGGGCACUUGUUCACGAAGAGGCACCCGCAGUGUCCUGUCCGUCCGUCCGUCCGUCCGUCCGUCCGCACUCUCAGUCACAAGAGUUAGGGGCACCGGGGAAGGUCAGCCGCAGCCACUACCGGCCCCUCAGAAGUCUGGCACCCCCACUUUCCCAGGCCAGCCACUCCCUGCUCAGGCCGCGGGGCUCUGUUUUAGAAUGAUCACCGAGAGAUGGAGAGUCACAGGACUGUCCCUGGAUGUGCCAGGGCUGGGAAGGGGGAGAGCCAGCGUGAGACUUUUGCCUGUAUCAGCAUAAUGAGGAUAAUGACUGACCCCCUUUCUCCUUUCCUCUCCCUACCAGCCAGGUUUAUAACCGAUAUUGUGAUUUAUAAUAAAUAUUUGGUCUUCAUCCCUGUUCCUGA